rnacentral:rRNA from 1 species
CCUACGGGAGGCAGCAGUGAGGAAUAUUGGUCAAUGGACGAGAGUCUGAACCAGCCAAGUAGCGUGAAGGAUGACUGCCCUAUGGGUUGUAAACUUCUUUUAUAUGGGAAUAAAAUGUUCCACGUGUGUGAUUUUGUAUGUAACAUAUGAAUAAGGAUCGGCUAACUCCGUGCCAGCAGCCGCGGUAAUACGGAGGAUCCGAGCGUUAUCCGGAUUUAUUGGGUUUAAAGGGAGCGUAGGUGGUUUGUGAAGUCAGUCGUGAAAGGUUGCGGCUCAACCGUGAAAUUGCAGUUGAAACUGGCAGUCUUGAGUACAGUAGAGGUAGGCGGAAUUCGUGGUGUAGCGGUGAAAUGCUUAGAGAUCACGCAGAACUCCGAUUGCGAAGGCAGCUCACUGGACUGCAACUGACACUGAGGCUCGAAAGUGUGGGUAUCAAACAGGAUUAGAUACCCUGGUAGUC